rnacentral:misc_RNA from 1 species
AGCAGCCGCGGUAAUUCCAGCUCCAAUAGCGUAUAUUAAAGUUGUUGCAGUUAAAAAGCUCGUAGUUGAAUUUCGGGAUUGACGUGAUGGUCGUGCCUUACGGGGUAUGAACUGUUGCAGUCAAUUUCUCACCUUCUGGAGAAAUAUGAUGUCCUUAAUUGGGUGUCAUAUGGAACCAGAACUUUUACCUUGAAAAAAUUAGAGUGUUUAAAGCAGGCUUAUUGCUCGAAUACAUUAGCAUGGAAUAAUAAAAUAGGACGGCAUGGUUCUAUUUUGUUGGUUUCUAGGAUCACCGUAAUGAUUAAUAGGGAUAGUUGGGGGCAUUAGUAUUCAAUUGUCAGAGGUGAAAUUCUUGGAUUUAUUGAAGACUAACUACUGCGAAAGCAUUUGCCAAGGAUGUUUUCAUUAAUCAAGAACGAAAGUUAGGGGAUCGAAGACGAUCAGAUACCGUCGUAGUCUUAACCAUAAACUAUGCCGACUAGGAAUCAG